CUGAUGCGUUGUUGGGUAGGGGAGCGUUCUGUAAGCCUGUGAAGGUGGCCUGUGAGGGUUGCUGGAGGUAUCAGAAGUGCGAAUGCUGACAUAAGUAACGAUAAAGCGGGUGAAAAGCCCGCUCGCCGGAAGACCAAGGGUUCCUGUCCAACGUUAAUCGGGGCAGGGUGAGUCGACCCCUAAGGCGAGGCCGAAAGGCGUAGUCGAUGGGAAACGGGUUAAUAUUCCCGUACUUGGUGUUACUGCGAAGGGGGGACGGAGAAGGCUAUGUUGGCCGGGCGACGGUUGUCCCGGUUUAAGCGUGUAGGUGUGUGUUCCAGGUAAAUCCGGUUCACUUUAACACUGAGGCGUGAUGACGAGGCACUACGGUGCUGAAGCAACAAAUGCCCUGCUUCCAGGAAAAGCCUCUAAGCAUCAGGUAACAUCAAAUCGUACCCCAAACCGACACAGGUGGUCAGGUAGAGAAUACCAAGGCGCUUGAGAGAACUCGGGUGAAGGAACUAGGCAAAAUGGUGCCGUAACUUCGGGAGAAGGCACGCUGACACGUAGGUGAAGUGAUUUACUCAUGGAGCUGAAGUCAGUCGAAGAUACCAGCUGGCUGCAACUGUUUAUUAAAAACACAGCACUGUGCAAACACGAAAGUGGACGUAUACGGUGUGACGCCUGCCCGGUGCCGGAAGGUUAAUUGAUGGGGUCAGCGCAAGCGAAGCUCCUGAUCGAAGCCCCGGUAAACGGCGGCCGUAACUAUAACGGUCCUAAGGUAGCGAAAUUCCUUGUCGGGUAAGUUCCGACCUGCACGAAUGGCGUAAUGAUGGCCAGGCUGUCUCCACCCGAGACUCAGUGAAAUUGAACUCGCUGUGAAGAUGCAGUGUACCCGCGGCAAGACGGAAAGACCCCGUGAACCUUUACUAUAGCUUGACACUGAACAUUGAGCCUUGAUGUGUAGGAUAGGUGGGAGGCUUUGAAGUGUGGACGCCAGUCUGCAUGGAGCCGGCCUUGAAAUACCACCCUUUAAUGUUUGAUGUUCUAACGUGGACCCGUAAUCCGGGUUGCGGACAGUGUCUGGUGGGUAGUUUGACUGGGGCGGUCUCCUCCUAAAGAGUAACGGAGGAGCACGAAGGUUGGCUAAUCCUGGUCGGACAUCAGGAGGUUAGUGCAAUGGCAUAAGCCAGCUUGACUGCGAGCGUGACGGCGCGAGCAGGUGCGAAAGCAGGUCAUAGUGAUCCGGUGGUUCUGAAUGGAAGGGCCAUCGCUCAACGGAUAAAAGGUACUCCGGGGAUAACAGGCUGAUACCGCCCAAGAGUUCAUAUCGACGGCGGUGUUUGGCACCUCGAUGUCGGCUCAUCACAUCCUGGGGCUGAAGUAGGUCCCAAGGGUAUGGCUGUUCGCCAUUUAAAGUGGUACGCGAGCUGGGUUUAGAACGUCGUGAGACAGUUCGGUCCCUAUCUGCCGUGGGCGCUGGAGAACUGAGGGGGGCUGCUCCUAGUACGAGAGGACCGGAGUGGACGCAUCACUGGUGUUCGGGUUGUCAUGCCAAUGGCACUGCCCGGUAGCUAAAUGCGGAAGAGAUAAGUGCUGAAAGCAUCUAAGCACGAAACUUGCCCCGA
rnacentral:rRNA from 1 species